rnacentral:lncRNA from 1 species
AUCACUUGCAUCCAGCAGGUGGAGGUUGCAGUGAGCUGAGAUCGCACUGCUGCAUUCCAGCCUGGACAACAGAGAGAGACUCCAUCUAAAAAAAAAAGAAAAAAAAGAAAAAAAAAUUCUCGUAGCCAAGGAGGACGCAUUAAUUGUGCUCAGGAAUAAUUGCCACAUCAGAUACAAAGUGAGAAGCCACGUUAUGAAGGGACACAAAGAUGCUAGAUUAGCCAAGACUCUUGGUCAAAAGUGAUACGUAUGCCUGCUCCAAUUGGCUUAAGCAAUAAAGGGAGGUUAUUGGCUCCUAAAUCUAGUGAGCUUUCAGGUAUGGCUUGAUCAGGGUGUUCAAAUGAUGUCAUCAGAAAUCCCUCCAUCAUUACCCUCUGCCUCUGGUUUUCUCUGAGUCAACUUAAUUCCCUGCUGGCAUGACGGCCACCAAGAGCUUUAGGCUUAUAUCCUGCCAGCUUAGCAACUCCAACUCAAAGAGCACCACUUUUUCAAUGAUUUUAGCCAAAAUUCCAAGACUUGUCUCAGACCAGCCUGAAUCAUGUGCCUGCUCUUGAACAAAGCACAGUAGCCAGGGAAAAAUUGUGCUUUGAUUGUCUAGGACUGGGUCCUGGACCUGCCCCUGGGACUUGCGGAAGGGGACAGCUCAAUCUGAGCCAUAUCAACUGAGAACACAGGAAGCAUGGUCCAACCAAGAGAUGUCUAUUCCAGGUAUAGUGGAGCCUCAGAGGACAGCAUGACUCUCGUUCGGCUGGUGGAUCAGGGAAUGGUCCAAUAAGCCACAGCUGUGGAUAUGAAGAUCUUGUGAAAUCAGUGACCUCUGGGUCAUGUAGAAACCCAGCACAUUCCCACAGGACACAGCCUAGCAGUUGAUCAGAGCAAUAGUUCAUACCUGAGACCCUGGAUUUUCAGACCCUCCCCCAGCCCCCACCAGCCUCUGUCAGUGCCAAGCUGGACGGAACAAACCACAUGAGGUGGGCAGAGCCAAGGUGCCCUCCCUACACCUUCCUGGGGCCGCCAGCGAUCCUGAGCUCAUCCUCCUGACCUGCAGACCCCUCGGCUCUGGCCCUCACGUCCUGCUUGCUGUACCUGCUUUAUCCCAUGUCACCAUCUCC